UGGUCAUCGCGCUUGGUUGA
rnacentral:snRNA from 1 species